UACGAAGGGGGCUAGCGUUGCUCGGAAUCACUGGGCGUAAAGCGCACGUAGGCGGCUUUCUAAGUCAGGGGUGAAAUCCUGGAGCUCAACUCCAGAACUGCCUUUGAUACUGGAGAGCUUGAGUCCGGAAGAGGUGAGUGGAACUCCGAGUGUAGAGGUGAAAAUUCGUAGAUAUUCGGAAGAACACCAGUGGCGAAGGCGGCUCACUGGUCCGGUACUGACGCUGAUGUGCGAAAGCGUGGGGAGCAAACAGGG
rnacentral:rRNA from 1 species